ensembl:lncRNA
UGUGUGUGUGCAUGUGUGUUCAUCAGGGAAUGAACCAGUGGGGGGCUUCCACACAACUUGUGUCACCCCAGAGACGGCAAUUAAAAUGACUCUGGAAGGCGUGUGUGUGUGUGUGUGUGUGUGUGUGUGUGUGUGUUUACAUACAUAUGCCACUCUGCGUGUAAGUGGGUUUUUGUGAAAUCUCCCCAGUACUUUGUUGCUGUAAUAAGACCCAUGAAAUAUUAACAUGCUCCUCUGGCAGAAUGCUUCAUAAAUUGUAUUCAGAUACUCACCACUCUCGCUUUCUCAUAAUUUAGAAGGAAAAAACACAAGAUGAAAAACAGUUAUUUAAAUCCCACGGAUGCACCCAAAGAUCUUAAUAUCACUUUAGCAUAUUGCAAUAUUGCAAGAUGAACAGAACCUGGUUGUUAAGUUGAUCCUGAGACAUGCAGUGACCUUCCUCUGAAUCUCAAAUCAUGGCCGUAGCUUGAGAGAGAGUGAAUACUACAUUAUCAUCCCAUUGUUGACCAAAAUGAUAUGUCUCCAAGUCUAUUUCAGGUAAGAUGUAGUAUUUUUGUAUCUACAUGAAGGUGGUUAGAGUCAGAUGUAUCUGUAUGAAGGUGGUUAGAGUCAGAUGUAUCUGUAUGAAGGUGGUUAGAGUCAGAUGUAUCUGUAUGAAGGUGGUUAGAGUCAGAUGUAUCUGUAUGAAGGUGGUUAGAGUCGGCUGUAUCUGUAUGAAGGUGGUUAGAGUCGGCUGUAUCUGUAUGAAGGUGGUUAGAGUCAGAUGUAUCUGUAUGAAGUUGGUUAGAGUCAGAUGUAUCUGUAAGAAGGUGGUUAGAGUCAGAUGUAUCUGUAAGAAGGUGGUUAGAGUCAGAUGUAUCUGUAUGAAGAUGGUUAGAGUCAGAUGUAUCUGUAUGAAGGUGGUUAGAGUCAGAUGUAUCUGUAUGAAGGUGGUUAGAGUCAGAUGUAUCUGUAUGAUACAUCAUCUGUAUGAGUCAGAUGUAUCUGUGACACAAGCAGUACAGCUAGCUAAAUGUGAGUUAUGAUGAUGACAUUUUCUUGGUAGUUGUGGUGUAAGUACCUUUGUCAUUGUCGCACGGCUACACGCUUACAGUGUAGGCUGUUUUUUUUACACUCCUCUAAAGUAAUCAGGCUGGUUUUUAUUUUAUUUUAAUCACGGAUUGUACACACUGUAUAUAACCAACAUAACUCUUUGACAUGCACAUCACACUAAUGCAUACGCUGUUAGUGCGUAUCCCGUUGCCGCCUCUUUGGAACUGUACUAGCGAGCCUACUUAAAAUGAUCCUCAUUUUCUUUUCCCCCUCCUCCGUUUUCUCCUGGAGUCCCACUCACGGUCAGCUCUCCCCAACAAAGAACAGCUCCCAUCCAGGGAGGACGAAGUCUCACAAGUGCUUCCUUCCAAGACACGUGGAACCAGCCAUUCCCAUCUUUUCAUAACACACUCAAAGGGAAGCGCAAUUUUGCUGUCAGGCUUUGAAUUCACAAUCUCCGGACAAUGAGGCAGAUGCUUUUGUGUCGCACCACUGCUAUUUGGGCCGGCCCUCUUUCUGUGUUAUAAAAUGGAGUAAAAGGGUCAGCGAUAAGGGUUCUGCUAAAAUCUCAGACUGUAAUAAGACACUGUGUAAAGGAAGUGCGUCCGUGGCCAGCGUUCUGCUUGAAUACCUCAUGUGUUCACUGACACUGAAGUGCAAGUUAAGUGUGUCAACAUGACCGGGGACAUAAUUAACUUAAUAAAUAAUAAAUAACCAAGCCCAAGUGGAUGCACAAUGGGAAAGGGGUGUUUGCCAUGUGUGUGUGUGUGUGUGUGUGUGUGUGUUUACUGAGCCCAUGUGUGCAAGUGAUUUAGAUAAGCCUGUGUAAUUGCCCUCAUUACUGCCACUGUGUUUGAGUAGCUUUGCCGUUCAGGCCGUAGCGGGGAUUGAGUGUGCGCCGCAAAGAGGUGCUCGAGCUCGCACGCAAACAAGGCUGGCCACGCGUGGGUUCGUCGCUUCCCCACAGGCGCGCACACACGCAAACACGAUAACAACUCAACAUGAGGUUAGCAGCUCUGCUGCUCUAUAAUUUACAGCCUUUCCAUUCAGAUCUUCCUACACACGCACAAAUGCAGACACUCCUGCCGUCUGAGUGAUGGCCUGCUAGCUCCGAGCGCGUGUGCUUAAUGUCACUGAUGCCGGGUCUGGACAAACGCUACGGAGAAAUCACCAGCACGCAGCAAGCUUCGCUGUCCUCUCAUCAAUCCUCCGCUCUAUUUAUAACACAUCCGCAGCUGUGAACAGAAGGAGCAAGCAAUUUUCAAAACAGGGACAGGUAGGGAGCAGGCAUGGACAGGAACACAUUCGGACUGUUGGCUUAUAUCGAGUACUGAACAUCAUCUGGUUCUACAACUAACAAAUGCAACUAGUUUGUUGUUCUACAACAACUAACUUCAUUGGAACUGACAGGCGCAUAGGCAACGCCCUUUUCACUUGGACUGACAGACACAGAGGCAACACCCCAUUUAUUGGGACGAACAGGCACGGCAGUCUUUCAACAAGAUAGGCAGAUAGAGAAGCCACGCCUCGUUCACUAAGGCAGGCAAAACUAUCAGGCCAUGCCUCUUUUACUGGGAUGGAGAGGCACAGAGGCUAUUCCCACUUAAAUGGGACUGAGGCAUAGAGGCCACACCUCCUUCACUGGGACAGACAGAC